UCUGCUUCACUUUUCUUGAUUUAGACCGAUCCAUUUAGCUUAUUAGGUUUGAUCAGCAGCUCCUUGUUUUAAGAUAUAUAUGUUUAUGUUGUCUAUUGUCUAAUUCCCACUAAUUAUUUCUUUGUUUUUGAUCUGUCUAUAAUAGAGGCAAAUUUUAUUACGUGGAUGUGAAUAAGGUACCUCAAGCUCUAGUGAAGCGUGGAAACAUCUCUAAGAUGCCAACAAUUCAGCUAUGGAAAGAUGGAGAGAUGAAAGCAGAAGUAAUUGGAGGGCAUAAGGCAUGGCUUGUGAUCGAUGAAGUUAGAGAAAUGAUCCAAAAGUUUGUCUAAUGAUCCAAAUUUCUUGUAUAUAGGCUUUUUUUUUUCUGCUCUUUUAUCAUGCAGUCAUGCGUACAUCAUAUAUAUAGCAGAGCAAUAUUUCGUUU